rnacentral:rRNA from 1 species
UACGAAGGGGGCUAGCGUUGUUCGGAUUUACUGGGCGUAAAGCGCACGUAGGCGGAUCGUUAAGUCGGGGGUGAAAUCCUGGAGCUCAACUCCAGAACUGCCUUCGAUACUGGCGAUCUUGAGUCCGGAAGAGGUGAGUGGAACUCCUAGUGUAGAGGUGGAAUUCGUAGAUAUUCGCAAGAACACCAGUGGCGAAGGCGGGACUCUGGGCCGAUACUGACGCUGAGGAGCGAAAGCGUGGGGAGCAAACAGG